CAAGAAAAACCUCUAAGCUUCAGAUAAAUACAACCCGUACCGCAAACCGACACAGGUAGUCAAGGAGAGAAUCCUAAGGUGCUCGAGUGAUUCAUGGCUAAGGAACUAGGCAAAAUGGCCCUGUAACUUCGGGAGAAGGGGCGCUUCCUCUGUAAAGAGAAGCCGCAGUGAAUAGGCCCAGGCGACUGUUUAUCAAAAACACAUGGCUUUGCAAAAUCGAAAGAUGAAGUAUAAGGCCUGACACCUGCCCGGUGCCGGAAGGUUAAGUGGAGAUGUUAGCUUCGGCGACGCAUUCAAAUGAAGCCCCGGUAAACGGCGGCCGUAACGAUAACGGUCCUAAGGUAGCGAA
rnacentral:rRNA from 1 species